rnacentral:rRNA from 1 species
UAGGGAAUCUUCCACAAUGGACGCAAGUCUGAUGGAGCAACGCCGCGUGAGUGAAGAAGGUUUUCGGACCGUAAAGCUCUGUUGUUGGUGAAGAAGGAUAGAGGUAGUAACUGGCCUUUAUUUGACGGUAAUCAACCAGAAAGUCACGGCUAACUACGUGCCAGCAGCCGCGGUAAUACGUAGGUGGCAAGCGUUGUCCGGAUUUAUUGGGCGUAAAGCGAGCGCAGGCGGAAGAAUAAGUCUGAUGUGAAAGCCCUCGGCUUAACCGAGGAAUUGCAUCGGAAACUGUUUUUCUUGAGUGCAGAAGAGGAGAGUAGAACUCCAUGUGUAGCGGUGGAAUGCGUAGAUAUAUGGAAGAAUACCAGUGGCGAAGGCGGCUCUCUGGUCUGCAACUGACGCUGAGGCUCGAAAGCAUGGGUAGCGAACAGGAUUAGAUACCCUGGUAGUCCAUGCCGUAAACGAUGAGUG